UGUCAUUCUGACUGGAAUAAGAUGAAAUCUUAGAGUAGUUUUGAUUUGCAUUUCUCUAAUUGCUAGAGAUAUUGAACAUUUUUUCAUAUAUUCGUUGAUUGAUUAUAUAUCACCUCUGAGAAGCGUCUAUUCAGUUCCUUGGCCCAUUUAUUGAUUGGGUUAUUUAUUUAUUUAUUUAUUUUGGUUUUUAGCUUUUUGAGUUCUUUAUAUACCCUAGCGAUUAGUCUGUAUCUGAUGUGCAAGUGAUAAAUAUUUGCUCCCAAGCUGCAGGCUCUCUAUUCACCUCAUUGAUUGUUUCUUUUGCUGAGAAGCAGGUUUUUAGUUUGAUUCUAUCCCAUUUAUUAAUUCUUUAAUGCUUGCACUAUGAGAGUCUUAUUCAGGACAUAGGGGCCUAAUCUAAUAUAAUAGAGAUUUGGGCCUACUUUUUUUUAUAUUAGAUGCAGGGUCUCUGGUUCAAUUCCUAGGUCCAUGAUCUGCUUUGAGUUGAGUUUUAUGCAUGGUGAGAGAUAGGGGUUUAAUUUCAUUUUGUUGCACAUGGAUUUCCAGUUUUCCUAGCAUCAUUUGUUGAAGAAGCUAUCUCUUCUCCAGUGUGUGUUUUUGGUGCAUUUGGCUAAUAUAAGAUAACUGUAAUUAUGUGGAUUAGUCUCUGAGUCCUCUAUUCUGUACCAUUGGUCUACCAGUCUAUUUUGGUGACACUACCAAGACAUUUUUGUUACUAUUGCUCUGUGGUAUAGUUUAAGUUCUGGUAUAGUGAUGCCACCUGCUUCACUCUUCUUACCAAGGAUUGCUUUAGCUAUUCAGGGUCUCUAAUUUUUCCAGAUGAAUUACAUGACUG
rnacentral:lncRNA from 1 species